rnacentral:lncRNA from 1 species
GUGGAUGGACUGUUGUUGAUUUGUUUACACUUAUGUUAACUCUAGUCUCGAAAUCCCAGAUCGGUAACAUUGUGGGAGGCAACCCGUAUAUCUACGCUAGAGAGACGAAUGUGAACCCAUCGUCGGCGGGUUCUUGAGGAACGCAAAUGACAUAUAACACUGGCUAAUACAGUACCAGUUUCUCCGAUUUAUAAUAAGAGGAGCCGUCGUCAAUCCCAUGGUUGACCGUGCGCCCAUUUGAUCUUCAAGUUAGUUCUCUAUAACGGUAGAAGAAUGAAGCGUAUAAAUGCCAGAGGGAUAGAGGAGACCUAUUUUUGGGGAACACAAAAGACUCUAAACACACUGAGAGACAUGGAAGGCCUCCCUUGUUACAAGAAUAUUCAGAAAGACAUCCCACAGCUCACUGAUAUUGAGUUUCACAUAUCCAGUUUGGCCCAUGUCACCACAAAGUCUGGUCUUGAUGGAAUCUUGGAUUCAGGUGGAUUUAAGGGCGGAGAGAAGAGUCUCCUGUGGUGGGGUCUAGCCAUAGACCAUGAUGAUAUCAGAGCAGCAGAAGACCGUUACCUGGAGAAGCUCUUCCCUGACAGAACACCUGAGCAGAGGCAGAUGCAGCAACCCUUCCUCAGCAAGUUCACCACCUCACCUGCCUUCAGGAAGGCAUCACGUUAUGGGAACUUCAGGUUCACUUUCAGUCUGUCUGAUCUCCUGAUGAUGUACAGACAGCAGAUCUGUGGUGGAGAAGAGCCUGUCCUGAGAGUCUAUGGAACUACUGUCUACAAACAAGAGAUCAUGUACACAGUGCUUGUUCACAGUCCAGGUGUACAGGAAUUGGAGAAGUACCCAGCUCUUAAUAAUGGUGGAGAAGAUGUUUUUAAAUACCAAGAGGGGACCAUGGACUGGCAUGCACAAGCAGUGUCUGAAACCCAUGACUUUCAGCCGGUAAUUCAUAGGCCACAGGUGGUUGAAGUGGAACCUUUUGAUUGUUUGUAUGAAUAUGACAAGUGGUUUGUUUGGGACCAUGUGACCCUGGCGUUCCACCUGCCAGAAGGUCAGACCCUACAAGUUGAUAGAGAAAAACUGAUCGAAAACCUCACUGCUUGUGAGGCUGUUGAUCCAUUUCUUGGGGUAAGGUGUGUCUCCAACAGCUACAACUGUGCAUGUAAUUGUUGUUGUCUACACCGCUCAGAAGCUGAAUACAUUGUGGAGCAGAAAAGAAGAGACAAGCAAUCAGACAGCAACAACAGUACCUCAUAGCUUUUGGAAGCUACAGGAAGUAUUUAUGCAUAUUUAUAACUCAGUUAUGAAACCAGAAUAACCAAACCAGCUAUAACACAUCAUUAUGUGGUUUCCUUUCUCAUUUCGUGACAGAGAGCAGAAUUCAUUCAGAACAUCAUCAUAUGAUGAGGAUUAAAUCCUGUCAUGUGAGGUGUUUAUAAUUCAUGCUAUUAGGUUACAUUUGAAAAGGAGUCAUUCAAAUCGGCUAUUGCUCCAUCGCCAGGCAGCAUCUUAUUACAUCCACAUUAUCUGGUUUCACUGAACUUCUUCUGCAGGUCCACAUGAGCAUCUUGCCACCUUAAUAAAAACAUAAAUGUAGCACCUUAUUUUAUAGUACGGUUUCUACUGUUUUUACCUGGGGAUACUUUCUGGUACUUCAAAGAAUUCAUACCCAAUUGGUAAACAUCUGCUUAUUUCAAUAGAUCCAAUGGAAACAACGUCCAUUUACCAUUUUACUAUGAAAUGUCUUAGUAAGAAC